rnacentral:rRNA from 1 species
UGAAUACGAGACGCUAAGGCGUCGAAGUAGUGUAUGUCAUACUUCCAAGAAAAGCUUGCACUGUCAUAGAUAAAAAACGCCUGUACCAUAACCGACACAGGUGGGUAGGUAGAGUAUACUAAGGGGCGCGAGAUAACUCUCUCUAAGGAACUCGGCAAAAUAACUCCGUAACUUCGGGAGAAGGAGUGCCUUAUUCGUAAGGUUGCAAUAACAAGAUCCAAGCAGCUGUUUAUCAAAAACACAGGUCUCCGCUAAGUCGUAAGACGAUGUAUGGGGGCUGACGCCUGCCCAGUGCCAGAAGGUUAAAGAAGUUGGUUAGCAAUUGCGAAGCUGAUAACUGAAGCCCUGGUGAACGGCGGCCGUAACGAUAACGGUCCUAAGGUAGCGAAAUUCCUUGUCGGGUAAGUUCCGACCCGCACCAAAGGCGUAAUGAUUUGGAUACUGUCUCGGAGAGGGGCUCGGUGAAAUAGACUUGUCUGUGAAGAUGCGGACUACCUGCACCAGGACAGAAAGACCCUAUGAAGCUUUACUGUAACUUGAAAUUGAAAUUGGACUUUAUUCGCGCAGUAUAGGUGGGAGGCGUUGAUUAUAAUCUUGUGGGAUUAUUGGAGCCAUCAGUGAGAUACCACUCUUGUAAUGUUAGAUUUCUAACUUUGAAUCAUUAUCUGGUCAAAGAACAGUUUCAGGCGGGCAGUUUGACUGGGGCGGUCGCCUCCUAAACGGUAACGGAGGCGUACAAAGGUUUCCUCUGAACGGUUAGAAAUCGUAUCUAGAGUGUAAAGGCAUAAGGAAGCUUGACUGUGAGACCUACAAGUCGAGCAGGGACGAAAGUCGGUCUUAGUGAUCUGACGGUACUGAGUGGAAAGGCCGUCACUCAACGGAUAAAAGUUACUCUAGGAUAACAGGCUGAUCUCCCCCAAGAGUUCACAUCGACGGGGAGGUUUGGCACCUCGAUGUCGGCUCAUCGCAUCCUGGGGCGGUAGUACGUCCCAAGGGUUGGGCUGUUCGCCCAUGAAAGCGGUACGCGAGCUGGGUUCAGAACGUCGUGAGACAGUUCGGUCCAUAUCCGGUGUAGGCGUUAGAAUAUUGAGAGGAGCCUUCUUUAGUACGAGAGGACCGAGAAGGACAUACCUCUGGUGUACCAGUUAUCGUGCCAACGGUAAACGCUGGGUAGCUAUGUAUGGAGUGGAUAACCGCUGAAAGCAUCUAAGUGGGAAGCCCACCUCAAGAUAAGUAUUCUCAUC